rnacentral:rRNA from 1 species
AGUGGACGCUGGCGGUAGGCCUAACACAUGCAAGUCGAACGGCAGCACAGUAAGAGCUUGCUCUUACGGGUGGCGAGUGGCGGACGGGUGAGGAAUACAUCGGAAUCUACUUUUUCGUGGGGGAUAACGUAGGGAAACUUACGCUAAUACCGCAUACGACCUACGGGUGAAAGCAGGGGAUCUUCGGCCCUUGCGCGAUUGAAUGAGCCGAUGUCGGAUUAGCUAGUUGGCGGGGUAAAGGCCCACCAAGGCGACGAUCCGUAGCUGGUCUGAGAGGAUGAUCAGCCACACUGGAACUGAGACACGGUCCAGACUCCUACGGGAGGCAGCAGUGGGGAAUAUUGGACAAUGGGCGCAAGCCUGAUCCAGCCAUACCGCGUGGGUGAAGAAGGCCUUCGGGUUGUAAAGCCCUUUUGUUGGGAAAGAAAAGCAGCAGGUUAAUACCCCGCUGUUCUGACGGUACCCAAAGAAUAAGCACCGGCUAACUUCGUG